UACGGAGGGGACUAGCGUUGUUCGGAAUUACUGGGCGUAAAGCGCACGUAGGCGGAUUUGUAAGUCAGGGGUGAAAUCCCGGGGCUCAACCUCGGAACUGCCUUUGAUACUGCAAAUCUCGAGUCCGGAAGAGGUGAGUGGAAUUCCUAGUGUAGAGGUGAAAUUCGUAGAUAUUAGGAAGAACACCAGUGGCGAAGGCGGCUCACUGGUCCGGUACUGACGCUGAGGUGCGAAAGCGUGGGGAGCUAACAGG
rnacentral:rRNA from 1 species